rnacentral:rRNA from 1 species
AGUGAACGCUGGCGGUAGGCCUAACACAUGCCAGUCGAACGGCAGCACAGUAAGAGCUUGCUCUUACGGGUGGCGAGUGGCGGACGGGUGGGGAAUACAUCGGAAUCUACUUUUUCGUGGGGGAUAACGUAGGGAAACUUACGCUAAUACCGCAUACGACCUACGGGUGAAAGCAGGGGAUCUUCGGACCUUGCGCGAUUGAAUGAGCCGAUGUCGGAUUAGCUAGUUGGCGGGGUAAAGGCCCACCAAGGCGACGAUCCGUAGCUGGUCUGAGAGGAUGAUCAGACACACUGGAACUGAGACACGGUCCAGACUCCUACGGGAGGCAGCAGUGGGGAAUAUUGGACAAUGGGCGCAAGCCUGAUCCAGCCAUACCGCGUGGGUGAAGAAGGCCUUCGGGUUGUAAAGCCCUUUUGUUGGGAAAGAAAAGCAGCAGGUUAAUACCCCGCUGUUCUGACGGUACCCAAAGAAUAAGCACCGGCUAACUUCGUG